AUAUACGCGUGUGUGAUGAACGUCUUAGGAUUGUAAAACACUUUCAGCAAGGGAAAAAAUUAUAUAAAUAAUACUUAUAUUAACUGAUAUUACCUGCAAAAGAAGUACCGGCUAACUCCGUGCCAGCAGCCGCGGUAAUACGGAGGGUACAAGCGUUAAUCGGAAUUAUUGGGCGUAAAGAGUACGUAGGUGGUAUAUUAAGUCAGAUGUGAAAUACUUAAGCUUAACUUAAGAACUGCAUUUGAAACUAAUAAACUAGAGUUUUAUAGAGGGGAGUAGAAUUCCAAGUGUAGCGGUGAAAUGCGUAGAUAUUUGGAGGAAUACCAGAGGCGAAGGCGACUCCCUGGGUAAUAACUGACACUGAGGUACGAAAGCUUGGGGAGCAAACAGGAUUAGAUACCCUGGUAGUCCAUGCUGUAAACGAUGUCAACUUUGAAGAUUGUAACUAUUAUUAUCUUUUAUAAUUUUCGUAGCUAACGCAUUAAAUUGACCGCUGGGGAUUACGACCGCACAGGCUAAAAACUCACAAUGAACUUCGACGGGGAACCCGCACAAGCGGUG
rnacentral:rRNA from 1 species